GACGAACGCUGGCGGCGUGCUUAACACAUGCAAGUCGAACGGAAAGGCCCCUUUGGGGGUACUCGAGUGGCGAACGGGUGAGUAACACGUGAGUAACCUUCCCUUGACUUCGGGAUAACUUCAGGAAACUGGGGCUAAUACCGGAUAGGAAUCCUUGCUGCAUGGUGGGGGUUGGAAAGCUUCGGCGGUUUUUGAUGGACUCGCGGCUUAUCAGCUUGUUUGUGGGGUAGUGGCUUACCAAGGCUUUGACGGGUAGCCGGCCUGAGAGGGCGACCGGCCACAUUGGGACUGAGAUACGGCCCAGACUCCUACGGGAGGCAGCAGUGGGGAAUAUUGCACAAUAGGCGGAAGCCUGAUGCAGCAAAGCCGCGGGCGGGAUGACGGCCUUCGGGUUGUAAACCGCUUUCAGCAGGGGCGAAGCUUGUGGUGACGGUACCUGCAGAAGAAGCACCGGCUAACUACGUG
rnacentral:rRNA from 1 species